AUUGAACGCUGGCGGCAGGCCUAAUACAUGCAAGUCGAGCGAGCGGCGGAUGGGUGAGUAAUGUAUGGGGACUGCCCGAAAGAGGGGGAUAACUACUGGAAACGGUAGCUAAUACCGUAUACUAUCGGCCAACCCAUAUGGGAUUGGCUAGUAGGUGAGGUAAUGGAUCACCUAGGCCACGAUCCUUAGAUGGUCUGAGAGGAUGAUCAGCCACACUGUGACUGAGACACGGCCCAGAAUCCUACGGAGGCAGCAGUGGGGAGUAUUGGACAAUGGGCGAAAGGCUGAAGGAGACAUGCCGCGUGGAUGAAGAAGGCCCUAGGGUGGGAAAGUACUGUCAGUCGAGAGGCGUUACCGAAAGAGAAAGGCCCGGCUUACUCCGUGCCAGCAGCCGCGGUAAUAC
rnacentral:rRNA from 1 species